UAGGGAAUCUUCCACAAUGGACGCAAGUCUGAUGGAGCAACGCCGCGUGAGUGAAGAAGGUUUUCGGACCGUAAAGCUCUGUUGUUGGUGAAGAAGGAUAGAGGUAGUAACUGGCCUUUAUUUGACGGUAAUCAACCAGAAAGUCACGGCUAACUACGUGCCAGCAGCCGCGGUAAUACGUAGGUGGCAAGCGUUGUCCGGAUUUAUUGGGCGUAAAGCGAGCGCAGGCGGAAGAAUAAGUCUGAUGUGAAAGCCCUCGGCUUAACCGAGGAAUUGCAUCGGAAACUGUUUUCUUGAGUACAGAAGAGGAGAGUAGAACUCCAUGUGUAGCGGUGGAAUGCGUAGAUAUAUGGAAGAAUACCAGUGGCGAAGGCGGCUCUCUGGUCUGCAACUGACGCUGAGGCUCGAAAGCAUGGGUAGCGAACAGGAUUAGAUACCCUGGUAGUCCAUGCCGUAAACGAUGAGUGCUAAGUGUUGGGAGGCUUCCGCCUCUCAGUGCUGCAGCUAACGCAUUAAGCACUCCGCCUGGGGAGUACGACCGCAAGGUUGAAAC
rnacentral:rRNA from 1 species